rnacentral:rRNA from 1 species
ACCGAUGAUGCCCACUUGUGGGUGGAUUAGUGGCGAACGGGUGAGUAACACGUGAGUAACCUGCCCUUAACUCUGGGAUAAGCCUGGGAAACUGGGUCUAAUACCCGGAUAUGACUCCUCAUCGCAUGGUGGGGGGUGGAAAGCUUUUUGUGGUUUUGGAUGGACUCGCGGCCUAUCAGCUUGUUGGUGAGGUAAUGGCUCACCAAGGCGACGACGGGUAGCCGGCCUGAGAGGGUGACCGGCCACACUGGGACUGAGACACGGCCCAGACUCCUACGGGAGGCAGCAGUGGGGAAUAUUGCACAAUGGGCGAAAGCCUGAUGCAGCGACGCCGCGUGAGGGAUGACGGCCUUCGGGUUGUAAACCUCUUUCAGUAGGGAAGAAGCGAAAGUGACGGUACCUGCAGAAGAAGCGCCGGCUAACUACGUGCCAGCAGCCGCGGUAAUACGUAGGGCGCAAGCGUUAUCCGGAAUUAUUGGGCGUAAAGAGCUCGUAGGCGGUUUGUCGCGUCUGCUGUGAAAGACCGGGGCUCAACUCCGGUUCUGCAGUGGGUACGGGCAGACUAGAGUGAUGUAGGGGAGACUGGAAUUCCUGGUGUAGCGGUGAAAUGCGCAGAUAUCAGGAGGAACACCGAUGGCGAAGGCAGGUCUCUGGGCAUUAACUGACGCUGAGGAGCGAAAGCAUGGGGAGCGAACAGGAUUAGAUACCCUGGUAGUCCAUGCCGUAAACGUUGGGCACUAGGUGUGGGGGACAUUCCACGUUUUCCGCGCCGUAGCUAACGCAUUAAGUGCCCCGCCUGGGGAGUACGGCCGCAAGGCUAAAACUCAAAGGAAUUGACGGGGGCCGGCACAAGCGGCGGAGCAUGCGGAUUAAUUCGAUGCAACGCGAAGAACCUUACCAAGGCGGACAUGGACCGGACCGG